rnacentral:rRNA from 1 species
GUAGUCCACGCCGUAAACGAUGACGACUAGGUGUCGGGGGUAUCGACCCCCUCGGUGCCGCAGCUAACGCGAUAAGUCGUCCGCCUGGGGACUACGGCCGCAAGGCUAAAACUCAAAGGAAUUGACGGGGCCCGCACAAGCAGCGGAGCGUGUGGUUUAAUUCGACGCAACGCGAAGAACCUUACCUGGGCUUGACAUGCGCGUGGUACGAGGCGGAAACGCCGAGGACCCGCAAGGGGAGCGCGCACAGAUGCUGCAUGGCUGUCGUCAGCUCGUGCCGUGAGGUGUUGGGUUAAG